UUCUGUGAACCUUCAAACAAACAUAAUGCAUCGGUUUCAUUAGCUGUGGACACAUUUCAUAUGGGUAACUGGUACUUAUAAGGGUUACUAUUUGUCCAAUUCAUCCAAAUGCGUUCAGUGAAUGAAUGAUUGCAUAUUACAUGCUGAUAGAAAGGUGGUGGAGAAAGGUUCUUGAGGGGGCGUGUGUGACGAAUGCUAGAUGAGGGGCUAAGGCCUAAUUGGGCUGGGGGUAUUGAAGAAUUGUUCAUCAUGUCAGAGUCUUUUUCCAGAACUUGCCAUUGACUUGUACUCAUAAUGGCAUUCAAGGAACAAUAUCAGAGGGAGUAUAACAACUCCAGAAAGCAUAGCGCACAACAUAAUCUUGGUCUCAGGUACGUAUGAUCCUCUCAAUCUACGAUAUGGUGUAAAAGCCAUGAUGCUUCGCUGAGGAGAAAUUCUUCUGUUUCCG